AGAGUUUGAUCCUGGCUCAGGACGAACGCUGGCGGCGCGCCUAACACAUGCAAGUCGAACGAGCGAGAGAGAGCUUGCUUUCUCGAGCGAGUGGCGAACGGGUGAGUAACGCGUGAGGAACCUGCCUCAAAGAGGGGGACAACAGUUGGAAACGACUGCUAAUACCGCAUAAGCCCACGGGUCGGCAUCGACCAGAGGGAAAAGGAGCAAUCCGCUUUGAGAUGGCCUCGCGUCCGAUUAGCUAGUUGGUGAGGUAACGGCCCACCAAGGCGACGAUCGGUAGCCGGACUGAGAGGUUGAACGGCCACAUUGGGACUGAGACACGGCCCAGACUCCUACGGGAGGCAGCAGUGGGGAAUAUUGCACAAUGGGGGAAACCCUGAUGCAGCGACGCCGCGUGGAGGAAGAAGGUCUUCGGAUUGUAAACUCCUGUUGUUGAGGAAGAUAAUGACGGUACUCAACAAGGAAGUGACGGCUAACUACGUGCCAGCAGCCGCGGUAAAACGUAGGUCACAAGCGUUGUCCGGAAUUACUGGGUGUAAAGGGAGCGCAGGCGGGAAGACAAGUUGGAAGUGAAAUCCAUGGGCUCAACCCAUGAACUGCUUUCAAAACUGUUUUUCUUGAGUAGUGCAGAGGUAGGCGGAAUUCCCGGUGUAGCGGUGGAAUGCGUAGAUAUCGGGAGGAACACCAGUGGCGAAGGCGGCCUACUGGGCACCAACUGACGCUGAGGCUCGAAAGCAUGGGUAGCAAACAGGAUUAGAUACCCUGGUAGUCCAUGCCGUAAACGAUGAUUACUAGGUGUUGGAGGAUUGACCCCUUCAGUGCCGCAGUUAACACAAUAAGUAAUCCACCUGGGGAGUACGACCGCAAGGUUGAAACUCAAAGGAAUUGACGGGGGCCCGCACAAGCAGUGGAGUAUGUGGUUUAAUUCGAAGCAACGCGAAGAACCUUACCAGGUCUUGACAUCCGAUGCAUAGUGCAGAGAUGCAUGAAGUCCUUCGGGACAUCGAGACAGGUGGUGCAUGGUUGUCGUCAGCUCGUGUCGUGAGAUGUUGGGUUAAGU
rnacentral:rRNA from 1 species